ACGGAAGUAGUUUUCCAUCCUCCACAAGAAAUUGUCCACAUCACAUGCAGACCUUGUCCCCACAAACUCUUUCAGCUUUGGGACAUCCUCAUUACUGAGUGCUGCAUUCGCCACUCCUUUCCCCACGGCUGCUUGACACAAGGAUAGCUCUCCCUCGAGCUCCUCUAUUCUUGUGCUCAAAGCCUUCGUCGUGGCCAUUGUUUCCUCCUUCAAAGCCAUCAUCAUGGCCUCGAGAGCAUCAUUCCUUUCCGAAAGCUUAUCCCUGUGUGAAUUAAACAACUCGUUU
rnacentral:lncRNA from 1 species